GAUGAACGCUGGCGGCGUGCCUAAUACAUGCAAGUCGAGCGAACGGACGAGAAGCUUGCUUCUCUGAUGUUAGCGGCGGACGGGUGAGUAACACGUGGAUAACCUACCUAUAAGACUGGGAUAACUUCGGGAAACCGGAGCUAAUACCGGAUAAUAUUUUGAACCGCAUGGUUCAAAAGUGAAAGACGGUCUUGCUGUCACUUAUAGAUGGAUCCGCGCUGCAUUAGCUAGUUGGUAAGGUAACGGCUUACCAAGGCAACGAUGCAUAGCCGACCUGAGAGGGUGAUCGGCCACACUGGAACUGAGACACGGUCCAGACUCCUACGGGAGGCAGCAGUAGGGAAUCUUCCGCAAUGGGCGAAAGCCUGACGGAGCAACGCCGCGUGAGUGAUGAAGGUCUUCGGAUCGUAGAACUCUGUUAUUAGGGAAGAACAUAUGUGUAAGUAACUGUGCACAUCUUGACGGUACCUAAUCAGAAAGCCACGGCUAACUACGUGCCAGCAGCCGCGGUAAUACGUAGGUGGCAAGCGUUAUCCGGAAUUAUUGGGCGUAAAGCGCGCGUAGGCGGUUUUUUAAGUCUGAUGUGAAAGCCCACGGCUCAACCGUGGAGGGUCAUUGGAAACUGGAAAACUUGAGUGCAGAAGAGGAAAGUGGAAUUCCAUGUGUAGCGGUGAAAUGCGCAGAGAUAUGGAGGAACACCAGUGGCGAAGGCGACUUUCUGGUCUGUAACUGACGCUGAUGUGCGAAAGCGUGGGGAUCAAACAGGAUUAGAUACCCUGGUAGUCCACGCCGUAAACGAUGAGUGCUAAGUGUUAGGGGGUUUCCGCCCCUUAGUGCUGCAGCUAACGCAUUAAGCACUCCGCCUGGGGAGUACGACCGCAAGGUUGAAACUCAAAGGAAUUGACGGGGACCCGCACAAGCGGUGGAGCAUGUGGUUUAAUUCGAAGCAACGCGAAGAACCUUACCAAAUCUUGACAUCCUUUGACAACUCUAGAGACAGAGCUUUCCCCUUCGGGGGACAAAGUGACAGGUGGUGCAUGGUUGUCGUCAGCUCGUGUCGUGAGAUGUUGGGUUAAGUCCCGCAACGAGCGCAACCCUUAAGCUUAGUUGCCAUCAUUAAGUUGGGCACUCUAAGUUGACUGCCGGUGACAAACCGGAGGAAGGUGGGGAUGACGUCAAAUCAUCAUGCCCCUUAUGAUUUGGGCUACACACGUGCUACAAUGGACAAUACAAAGGGCAGCGAAACCGCGAGGUCAAGCAAAUCCCAUAAAGUUGUUCUCAGUUCGGAUUGUAGUCUGCAACUCGACUACAUGAAGCUGGAAUCGCUAGUAAUCGUAGAUCAGCAUGCUACGGUGAAUACGUUCCCGGGUCU
rnacentral:rRNA from 1 species